AGACAAUGGAAAUUGUCCUAAUGGGACGUUUGUAAGGAGCAUGGAAUUCGACACCGACUAAAUAUGUACACUGUGAAUACACAUAAAGUAAACAAUCUGUUUCAGAAUUACUAGCACAUGAUGACAUGUGUGAAGCUGGGUUCAUUGAAAAAUGUGAAAGGUGGUCGUUUAUUUUUUUUGAUUGUAAGUGAAUGUGUCGAUCACGCUCUUUGAAAGGCACGUAAAGCGACACCCAGACAAAAGGCUCACGAGCUCCGCAGUAAGAGAUGCGCUGCACGUGCUGCGUGACGUGUAUAACCAACGUUACAGCGAACGUUCCAUCGACCAUCCGUGCCCGUUUUUUCUUUUUGAUUCAUAAACAAGCGCUUCGAUCAGGAUUCGCGAAGUCAUCGCAACCGCCCAUCGGAGUUUUUAUAAUAUAUUAUGGCGUUACCAAAACACAAGUCUCGGGCCCCGGUGACGCGAAACUGCGGAUUUUGAAAAAAUUUUUCAUUUCGGCGCGAUUCCAGCGACACUCAACACGGAGAAAAUGAGUUCUCUGCUCCAGCAACGAGAAGAGGGUCGCCACUUUUUUGGCGAUGAUUUUCCAGUGAUAAUGAGUGAAGACGAAGAGUCUUUAAAUGAGACAACAGGGGACCUCACUGAAUGGAAGCCUGUCGACUGCUCAGAGAGUGGCGCCGUCUCCCGUACUGCCGCACCGCUCGCUGAGAGCGGAGGGACCCAGGAGUCAGUCAAGACUGAAGACAAUAAGGACACUGUGAACCAUGUGUGGCAGCACUGCUAUGAUACAGCGGAAAAUACACCAAAUUGCAGUUACCGUUUGAGAUCUCACGCAGAUGAGAAGCUAUACGUGUGUCUCGUGUGCUCUAAGUGUUUUUGCACCCGGAGCCAGCUCACUCGCCACUAUCAAGCAUGUAUCUUCGCCGACUCGGAACAAUAUGACAAACAUGCUGCUACAGAGCUGAAGAGUGAGUCUGAGGAGUCUUCUCCUAGCUCUGACUCAUGCUCGCCAUUAAUGCUGAAGUACACCUGCCAAAUAUGCUUUUAUGCUACUGGUAGUUUGGCACAUUUUAAUUGCCAUUUAAGAACACACAGGGGUGAGAAACCAUACGUGUCUCGUACCUGGAGCCAUCUGAUCCGACACAUUCGGACGUGCAACUAUAGAGACCUCUCCAGUCUUGCUUUAAAGAUGCAGACGUGUGAGUUUUGCAAGUACACCACUAAUUCCCCAUAUAACUUAGAGGUCCACAAGCGAAUCCAUGCAGGCCAGUGAUGUGUAUGAUGUGUAAAGCUGAGUUCCGCACAUAAAGCCAUCUUCACUGCUGCAAUAGGAGCCAUAUAAAGAAAUCGGAAUAGCUAAUGUACUUGCAGUGGCUCAACUUGAAAUAGUCCAAAAAUGGCCUGAAGUCUAACACCCAAACUAAUACUUUAUCUAUAAUACUAAUACUGAUACUAAUACUUAGAAGUAAUAGUUUUCUUCUUUUCAAAAUCCUAGUUGAAAUUUGAAAAUAAAUUUCAAGCUUUGACCCUGAUUUCA
rnacentral:lncRNA from 1 species